CAAGCGUUGUCCGGAUUUAUUGGGCGUAAAGCGCUCGCAGGUGGUUCGAUGCGUCGUGCGUGAAAGACCCCGGCUCAACUGGGGAGGGUCGUGCGAUACGGUCGAACUGGAGGCCAGUAGGGGGAUGCGGAAUUCCGGGUGUAGUGGUGGAAUGCGUAGAGAUCCGGAGGAACACCAGCGGCGAAGGCGGCAUCCUGGACUGGUCCUGACACUCAGGAGCGAAAGCGUGGGGAGCGAUCCGG
rnacentral:rRNA from 1 species